rnacentral:snRNA from 1 species
GGGUGUGAGGGAAGAGUUGGCUUCGACAUCUGUCAGUCACCCAGUGAUCUCCAGGGUUGAUUCAGCUGAUCUGGCUGGCUAGGUGGGUGUCCCCUUCCUCCCUCACCACUCCAUGUGUGUUCCUUCUAAAGCUGCCUGCUUGGUUAAAGAGGGAUGCCUUCCCUGAAAAGAGAUGGACUGGUUUUGGCCCAGGUCCAGGGUAUAGGAGUAGCUGCACUCCCCUGCUAGAACCUCCAAAGAAGCUCUCAAAAUAUAUUGAGUGGUCAAGGUCAAUAGGAGAGGGAACAGAUGGAGAAUGUAUAAGUAGCUUGGUCAGAUGUACUCUCUUCACAUGAUUACUUGAUUUAUUGU